AGUGAACGCUGGCGGUAGGCCUAACACAUGCAAGUCGAACGGCAGCACAGUAAGAGCUUGCUCUUACGGGUGGCGAGUGGCGGACGGGUGAGGAAUACAUCGGAAUCUACUUUUUCGUGGGGGAUAACGUAGGGAAACUUACGCUAAUACCGCAUACGACCUACGGGUGAAAGCAGGGGACCUUCGGACCUUGCGCGAUUGAAUGAGCCGAUGUCGGAUUAGCUAGUUGGCGGGGUAAAGGCCCACCAAGGCGACGAUCCGUAGCUGGUCUGAGAGGAUGAUCAGCCACACUGGAACUGAGACACGGUCCAGACUCCUACGGGAGGCAGCAGUGGGGAAUAUUGGACAAUGGGCGCAAGCCUGAUCCAGCAAUACCGCGUGGGUGAAGAAGGCCUUCGGGUUGUAAAGCCCUUUUGUUGGGAAAGAAAAGCAGCAGGUUAAUCCCCCGCUGUUCUGACGGUACCCAAAGAAUAAGCACCGGCUAACUUCGUG
rnacentral:rRNA from 1 species